UACGGGGGGGGGCUAGCGUUGCUCGGAAUCACUGGGCGUAAAGCGUGCGUAGGCGGUCCGCGAAGUCUGAUGUGAAAGCCCCGGGCUCAACCUGGGAACUGCAUUGGAAACUAACGGGCUCGAGUGUGGCAGAGGGGGGGUGGGAAUUCCACGUGUAGCAGUGAAAUGCGUAGAGAUGUGGAGGAACACCGAUGGCGAAGGCAGCCCCCCUGGGCUAACACUGACGCUCAGGCACGAAAGCGUGGGGAGCAAACAGG
rnacentral:rRNA from 1 species